rnacentral:rRNA from 1 species
UGGGGAAUAUUGCACAAUGGGCGCAAGCCUGAUGCAGCGACGCCGCGUGGGGGAUGACGGCCUUCGGGUUGUAAACUCCUUUCGCCAGGGACGAAGCGUUUUGUGACGGUACCUGGAGAAGAAGCACCGGCUAACUACGUGCCAGCAGCCGCGGUAAUACGUAGGGUGCAAGCGUUGUCCGGAAUUACUGGGCGUAAAGAGCUCGUAGGUGGUUUGUCACGUCGUCUGUGAAAUUCCACAGCUUAACUGUGGGCGUGCAGGCGAUACGGGCUGACUUGAGUACUGUAGGGGUAACUGGAAUUCCUGGUGUAGCGGCGAAAUGCGCAGAUAUCAGGAGGAACACCGAUGGCGAAGGCAGGUUACUGGGCAGUUACUGACGCUGAGGAGCGAAAGCAUGGGUAGCAAACAGGAUUAGAUACCCUGGUAGUCCAUGCCGUAAACGGUGGGCGCUAGGUGUAGGGACCUUUUGGGGUUUCUGUGCCGUAGCUAACGCAUUAAGCGCCCCGCCUGGGGAGUACGGCCGCAAGGCUA